AGGCCAUGAACCUGGCAACCCUGAUUUUAGGAUGGAGAUGAAGAAUGCAAUUUAGAGAGCCAGACUCAAAGUAUAUUGUUUAGAAUCUUCAGCUGAUCUCCUUUUGUUCUGUAAUUGAUCACUGGCACCCCCUUUAACCCUUAUUAAGGGAUAAGAGUAAAUUCAUGUUUUCUCUCAUCAGCCCAUCCCUCUGCAAAGUGUUCAAUAUAUUCAGUUUGCAAGGAGCAAAGCCAGAAGAAACAACAGGCCCAGUCAGUUCGUGGCAAGGUUAGGAAGAAGCAUGUCUGCUGCAUGAAGCAAAUAAUGGCUCUUGUUCCUGUACAAUAUUUGCACUGGACAGUCAAGUUAAUUUGGUUAUGGCUCUGUUCUUUGCUUUACACAUGACCUUGCAUCAGCUUUGUGGAUCCACAGUUCCUGUAAAGUCAGAAAGCGACAAUAAAGUCUUCAAAACAGUAUUAUGAGCUAUUCAAAGUUCACCUAAAAGUAUGAAAAGGCCAUUCGUGUCUGCUGUUUGCUGAAAGAUGUCUGAAGCAGUAACAUCUGAGAAAGAUACCUGGUUGCCUUGAAGACAUUUUUUAAAAGGUAGAUUUCUGCUGUUUCAGAAAUUGGAGAGCUAUGAAAAAUUAAAAUGGAAAAGAAAAACAAAGAACUGGACUGUAUAAGAGUUGAAUGAAGCUGAACUGCAUCAUGAAGAAAGACAUGAACGAGUUAUAUACACCAGACUACUUCAGUGGCCAGGACCUUUAUGGCUGCUGAUUCUUUGGCUUUGGGUUCAUCUGCCGAACAUCAUGGAUCUGUUCCUAAAAGUAGACAUUUUCUUUUCCAUUCCACAAUUGAGACUCCUAUGCCGAAGGAGAAUGUGAUAUAUUUUUUCAGCAUUGUGGCUGUGUCUUGGACUCUAAAAACAAAAAAUUAUUGGGGAGAAAAAAAUUCUUUUUACUAACUGUAGGAAGAAUGUUUUUUGAAAGUUCAAAUGUGGCACAAAGAAUGACAAGUUUGCUAAAAGUCAUUGUGUUCUUCAGUUUAGGAAGUGAAUAGUAAACCUGCACUCAGAAGUCAGAUGCUUUUUCAUACGAGUCAAGAAAUGCGUAUUCCAUAUGGGAUAAAGGAAAAAAACUUAAAUUAUGCCCAAAGGGCAUUUUUGGUCUACAAUGGCUUUAAAGUGUUUUAGGGCCCACUGUAACAAUGGUACUGGAGAUAUAAUGGUGUGCUAUUUAAUCUUUGUCUAAGCCACUGGGAAAAAUAGAAGGAAAGUGUGUAAAAGUCUGCUUAAAACAGAUUUAACCUGUUUUAGCUUCCUCUUAAUUCUUUUGUAUGCACAACAUUGAUAGCCUUUUGAAUGGGAGAGGGUUUUUUUUAAAAAAAAAAUCUUAGUGAUAGCUUGCUCAUGCAACUGAAACUCUGUAUUGACAGUAUUAGUGCUGCCUGUUCAUGUUAUCUUUUCCAAAUCUUCUGAAAGAGAUAUUUUAUAAAACAACAAAGCCCUAUGUGAUUAAUUGAAGAAGAUUUCGACUGGACCUUAUCGGACUUUUCCUAGUCCCUGAGACCCUAACUUGUGAGGUUUUUUAGUAACAAUCACAAGUCAGGCUCUUGGGACCUAGGCGGAGGGGAACCAGCAGCUUUGGACUUUAUUGAUUAACUUAUUUACAUUAUCAGUAGCACAAAAAAGAUAUUUGCUUUUGGGGAAGGCAUGUGAUGUUUUGGCCCAUAGAGAAAUGUGUUGUCCAGAAUACAGAUGGUGCAUAGUUUUGUAUAUUCAUAUACCUGUAUUGUACACAUUAAUGUUUUGAAUUAAUAUUAGGCAUUGAUUCAAGUGCUGAGAAAUAAAACAACACUGUUGCUUGAUUUGUUUGCCCUUUCAGCACUGAGGCCUAGCAAACAGCUUUCUCCCACCUCCCCCUUUAGAGUUUUAAUGCAAGUGUGUAUGAGCAUUUCCAUGCCCUGUAAUUUUGUUUCAAUGUUUUCCUUGCUUAGAUCUGGCAAUUUUUCAAAUUGUAACCAGUAUCACAACAAACUGUAGCACUUCCAGGGUUUUACUAUACAUGAAGCUAAUAUCAAAUUUAUUGUUUUCCAUUGUGGUUAUUUUACUCAAACUAGUUCACCCAACUUUGUUCUAUAAGGACAUAGAUACUUGUAUUAUAACACUAAAAAUAGCUAAACUAUUCUGGAAUUUAUUUCUUACACAGCUUUAUUUUCUAUAUCGUCCUUAAGCCUUUUUCAGUUUCCUAUGUACUACAUCAGUUUCCCCAUCCUCUACUGUGAAAAAUUCAAACUUUGCAAACUGAAACAAAGGCAUUGCAUAUCACAAGCAUUCAAACAAUUUCCCAUUUUGGAUUAUGUUCGGCUACAGCUGGUUUUUCCCCCCACGUGUGGGAAGAACUGUUGUACUGUCAGCAUCAACACUUGUCAUUACAAUACAUUGUUCUUAUGCUGCAAAAUACUUGAAUAGUUUGUUAGUUUUUUUAAUUCAUCCCCUCCAUUAUAAAUAAAUAGGAGCUUGUUUUUUAAAAGAAAGCAUAUUUUUGGCAAAGGUGUGGCACAUUCAUUGUAUGGCAACAAUAAGUUUAUGUAAAUUCUUUUUCAUCACAUAUUUAUAUGCUUGAUCCAACUGUGAUUUAACAAACAAAUGUAUGUAAGCAGAAAAGUGUCUCCAAAUAUAUAGUAUUGAAGACAAAACCAUUUUAUCAUACGAAAUGUCUAGUGUUCAUUUAAAGAUAUAU